AAUUUUCAUCUCACUCUCUCCUUCCUCUCAUCCAUCAUCAUCGUGAAAACCAAAUACUUCCGUUCUCAUCCGAUUCAACUGCUUCUCUGCUACUUCCAAACCGGACAUGCCCAGUCCAUUCAGCAACAUGUACGCGACCUCACGCCACCUGCAUCCUCCUUCUUCUUUCAACUCACACCCACCGUCCUCCCUUUUCAUUCCGUAAACCAACCGUUCACAAAACCCAACCAAUACUCCCUCUGUCUCGCUCAUCGCACGCUCCCUUUAGCCUCGUACUCCUCACCAUUUUCACACCUCCAGCAUAACCUCACUUCAACCUCCUUAUCUCAACCACACGUAAAACCUUAA